rnacentral:lncRNA from 1 species
CGGUCAACCAUGUUUGACCAUCUAUAACUUCUAAUCUAUACAUGAUAUGGACUUGAUUCUUUUUGCAGAUUAAAGACCACAUAUCAGGCUACACAUAACAACUUUUGAAGAACAAAACUCAUGAUCGAGCAAAGAGUUAUGGCCUCUGACAUUUGGUGAAAAAAAUAACAGAAUUCGGUUUUUCCAACUUGCUUAAAUCUUCAAAUUCGUGCACUUUGAUGUUAUGGGUCUUUGAUUUAUCAACCCAUAUCAUCAAUUAACAUUCUAUUACACAACUUUAAACAAUCAAUUGCAUCAAAU